UUUUAAAAGCUCCCCAGCUGAAUCUAAUGUGCAACUCAGACUGAGAACCUUUCUGUUAAGCCUUUAAAGGACAAACAGAAUUUCCUCAUGAACUGCAUUUGGAGGCUGCAUUUAAUUAUCAUCUGUUUUCAGUCUUUCAUAGAGCCAGUUUGUUAUCAAAAAUAUAAGUUUUCCAAUGUGGCCUGAUCAAUGUAACCUACACUGCAUCCGAUUCUUCCUCUGAUCUGAAUGCUGGGCUUCCAUAAAUGUGGCUGAAGACAGCUUUAGCUUUAAAUUUUUUUUUUUUUUCCGGCAGCUUUCCCAAUCUGUCGGUUCAUUGGGCUUAUGAAAGAACGGAACCUUCUGGUUUUUUCACAUACGCUGCUGUUGAAACGGUCUCCUCUAUCAGGUGGCUCCUGGUUUGGUGUGGAUGCCUUACACGUAAAAGGAUGAUGGAGUCCGAUAUGCUGCCCCAGCAAGAAAAACCAGCAUUUUAGCUCAGACUCCUUCCCUGGAAGCCUUGGCUUUUUGAGCUGAAGGGUCAUUGAAAGACCAGACGGCAGAGAAGCCUUUUAGGUUACUGUUUCCAGAAGCUCCGUGGUUCCGUUAGAAACCCCAGUGCCCUGCAGAAGUGAAGGGGACCGUCCAGCAUUACAUGGGGGAACAGCUGAAUCCUUUGGGAUCCCAGUUGUAAGCAGCUAAUUGUCACAUACCCCUUAUCCCAGCAGGGCUGUGCCUGGCAGACUGUUUGCCUCAACCAGGUGGGCAUCUUGCCUGUCAUGGCAUCUUCUCUCAGCCAAGUAGACACUUGGCUGCAGAAAAUGUCUUCCUUAGCAAAUCUGGGCUCAGGUAAAGAACAUAGCUGGGCCAGCCCAACGCUUGUCUAUUUAGAAUCAACACCCAAGGACUUGGACCUUGGGCGACAUGCUCUUUGGCGGUCUAUCACUAUGCACCCUGCAGGACGAGAGGAAGGAACUCAGUCUCAGCUGGUCUGAAAGCAUGUGGACUUGGAAGUGGCUGAUAUUCGCUCAUCUGUCUUAACUGGGAUAGGCAACUUGGAGGCACCUUUGAAAUCAAGAACCGAGACUGAAUGGCCUGGUGGGUGUGCAGACAAUCCUCCAGGAUGCAUGCAGGGACACCUGACAACAGAGCCUAUUACACGGCCCAGGAAGUGAAGCCGGUGUGUUGUGCUUUCCGGGGCCAGCAGCAGCUCUGAGCACAGGAAGCAAGAUUACAGGUCCUGCCAAAGUGCUGGGCGUGUGGAGCUCUGACAUCAGCGUGUUCCCUGGGAAUGUCUUGACAUUAAUAAUCUUUGUUCUUUGAUCUUUGCUUAAUGGAAAAGAAAGCUUCGCGUGUUCACUGGAAAGGCGGGCAUCCCAGGCUGGCAAGUGGCGCUCAGGCAGGCAGACCAGAAAGGCAGCGUUGAACCUGUCUAGGGCUG
rnacentral:lncRNA from 1 species